UACGGAGGGUGCAAGCGUUGUCCGGAUUCAUUGGGUUUAAAGGGUGCGCAGGCGGGACAUUAAGUCAGGGGUGAAAUCCUGGAGCUCAACUCCAGAACUGCCUUUGAUACUGGCGAGCUUGAGUUCGGGAGAGGUGAGUGGAACUGCGAGUGUAGAGGUGAAAUUCGUAGAUAUUGGGAAGAACACCGAUGGCGAAGGCAGCCAUCUGGACCGACACUGACGCUGAGGCGCGAAAGCGUGGGGGAGCAAACAGGG
rnacentral:rRNA from 1 species